rfam:Myotis brandtii contig261098, whole genome shotgun sequence.
AAGGAAGACAUAAUGGCUAUGGGGCUGGCUUGAAAUCAGUUUUAGGGGGUUCAAUUCCUUCCUUCCUUG